UUCCUCUCAGAGUUGCACCUGGAGAGUUUCCAGUAGUCUACUGGUCUUGGAUAUGGGAGGGAGAGUCAAGCAGAGGCCUACCCAUUCCAUUCCUAGCUUGGCCAGUGGCUAGUGAGUGGAAGGCAACCUGCUACAUCA
rnacentral:snoRNA from 1 species